UGGUGCGGUCACACCAGGGCAAUUACACCGGAUCCCAUCAGAACUCCGCAGUUAAGCGCCCUUGGGCCGGAUCAGUACUGGGAUGGGUGACCUCC
rnacentral:rRNA from 1 species